ensembl:snRNA U6 U6 spliceosomal RNA
GUGCUUGCUUCAGCAGCACAUACACUAAAAUCGGAACAAUAAAGAGAUUAGCAUGGCCCCUGCACUAGGAUGACACACAAAUUUGUAAAACACUCCAAUAAAAA